ACACGACUACAUUAGAUACCCGUGUAGUCCUGGCCGUAAACGAUGUGGACUUGGUGUUGGAAUGGCUCCGAGCUGCUCCAGUGCCGAAGGGAAGCUGUUAAGUCCACCGCCUGGGGAGUACGGUCGCAAGGCUGAAACUUAAGGGAAUUGGCGGGGAGCACCACAAGAGGUGGAGGCUGCGGUUCAAUUGGACUCAACGCCGGAAAACUCAUCGGGAGCGACAGCAGUAUGAUUGCCAGGUUGAUGACCUUGCUUGACAAGCUG
rnacentral:rRNA from 1 species